AGAGUUUGAUCCUGGCUCAGGACGAACGCUGGCGGCGUGCUUAACACAUGCAAGUCGAACGGAAAGGCCCUUCGGGGUACUCGAGUGGCGAACGGGUGAGUAACACGUGGGUGAUCUGCCCUGCACUUUGGGAUAAGCCUGGGAAACUGGGUCUAAUACCGAAUAUGACCAUGCACUUCCUGGUGUGUGGUGGAAAGCUUUUGCGGUGUGGGAUGGGCCCGCGGCCUAUCAGCUUGUUGGUGGGGUAAUGGCCUACCAAGGCGACGACGGGUAGCCGGCCUGAGAGGGUGACCGGCCACACUGGGACUGAGAUACGGCCCAGACUCCUACGGGAGGCAGCAGUGGGGAAUAUUGCACAAUGGGCGCAAGCCUGAUGCAGCGACGCCGCGUGAGGGAUGACGGCCUUCGGGUUGUAAACCUCUUUCAGCACAGACGAAGCGCAAGUGACGGUAUGUGCAGAAGAAGGACCGGCCAACUACGUGCCAGCAGCCGCGGUAAUACGUAGGGUCCGAGCGUUGUCCGGAAUUACUGGGCGUAAAGAGCUCGUAGGUGGUUUGUCGCGUUGUUCGUGAAAACUCACAGCUUAACUGUGGGCGUGCGGGCGAUACGGGCAGACUUGAGUACUGCAGGGGAGACUGGAAUUCCUGGUGUAGCGGUGGAAUGCGCAGAUAUCAGGAGGAACACCGGUGACGAAGGCGGGUCUCUGGGCAGUAACUGACGCUGAGGAGCGAAAGCGUGGGGAGCGAACAGGAUUAGAUACCCUGGUAGUCC
rnacentral:rRNA from 1 species